UUUCCCUUCCCCACAGACAGACCCACGCAGCGGCACCACUAGUCCCCAGGCAGGUCCCCUCCGCCCAUCCUAGGGCUGCGCCCUGCCCUGAGCAUAGAGGGAGGCGUUCCCGGUCUGGGAACAGCCGGUUCGCUGGGCAUAGAAAACGCUGUGCCGAUGUCUGUCUCCCCCACGGGAGCGGUUCUCUCUCUGGCUCGGGCUCUGCCCCCAGCAAUCCGUGGGGUGGGAGGUAGGUGCCCCAAGAGGGGCUGGGGCUUAACCUCUCUCUGCCCCCCUUUGCCCGUAGGAGGCUAGCAGCACAGUGGUAAUGACAAGCAAGGGGGUGAAGUUAAGAAAUGGGAAUUUUAGAGUGAAUACCCGGAAAACCUUCCGGAUCGGGAAGAGAUUUAAAUCUGGAAGAGGGAUCAGCGCUUCCCGAAGGAGCCCGAGCCCCGGGGCUGUGUUACUGAAAGUUGGAACUGGACUAAGCAAAUCCACAGGAAUGAAUAAUCCUGCACUGAGAGAACGUCCCAUGGUACUGCCUGAUGGGAAAGGAGACCUGUCGAGAUUCGCUGCUCCAUAGAACAGGGCGCAGUGUUGAUGCUCCGGGCUGGAGAGACUAGAAGUGAAUAGCAGAGACGGGAUGGUGAACUGAGGGAGGUUACACCUAUGAACUGAACACAGGUCUUCUGGGUCCUGCAUCGGUGCCGUAACCGCAGGACCAGCUGUAGGCCCUGAAGCUGGGAGGUUCCUUCAGCCCAGAUCAGUCAUAGCUUGCCAUCGGGGCCAUUCAAGGGGCUGUGUGGAACAAGUUUGAAGGUCUACAUUCGCUAAGCAGUCUCAGCAGGGAGGCUGUGGGUCAAAUGGGCCAUGGAGAACGAACUCCACUUCCCCUCUUAGCGCUCGUAAUGUCUAUAGUUAUUCCACUAUAGCUAUGACAGUCACGUUCCCAGUGUAGACAAGCCCCUAGGCUAAGUCUAUUAUGCCGUUAUACCUGAGUCAGGGGCACUUGGUUACAAAGUGGUUAAAAGCUAUAGUGUAAAUGGGGCCUACUGUAACUGGGGUUGUCUGAAGCUUUAGCCCAGGUACAAGACACAGGCUGCAUCGAGACGUCUAAUCAUAAUGGGACCAUGCAGGGAACCAAGAGCUCCCUGGGUCACUCUCCUGAUCAGAGUGGUUAUUGGGGGGAGAGGCAGGGCUGACUCUAGG